GAAAGUUGAUUCACACACACACACAUGUUCCUGUUGAGCUCGUAGCGAGGAAAACAUGCGCAGGAAAAAGUUCGUACCGGUGUAACAAACUUUGUGGAGUGAAGCCGAGCGGGGACGGAAGCUAACCCCCCCGCGACACGACCUGGGAAUAACUUUGGAAAGAGGAGUUUCUUCGUAAAGAAGGUAAAAGCCCGGAGUCACACUGUUAGAGGAGGAGGACCAAGCCCAAACCCGGGGAGCCACUGGGGCCCCAGGGUGCUGGAAUGGAGCAGCUAAUAGAGUCGCUGGAAAGGAAACUGCAGAGACCCCUACUGGCGAAGUCCCGCACCCUUCCCAGCAUCCCCCAGUCACCAACGGUCUCCAGGGUCCACCACUCAGAUCUCAUUGGUGGCAGUCCCCCCCGCAGGAAGAACCCGUUGGCUUCGACCAGCCACCCAAA